AGCGAACGCCGGCGGCAGGCCUAACACAUGCAAGUCGAACGAACUCUUCGGAGUUAGUGGCGGACGGGUGAGUAACACGUGGGAACGUGCCUUUAGGUUCGGAAUAACUCAGGGAAACUUGUGCUAAUACCGAAUGUGCCCUUCGGGGGAAAGAUUUAUCGCCUUUAGAGCGGCCCGCGUCUGAUUAGCUAGUUGGUGAGGUAACGGCUCACCAAGGCGACGAUCAGUAGCUGGUCGGAGAGGAUGACCAGCCACACUGGGACUGGGACACGGCCCAGACUCCUACGGGAGGCAGCAGUGGGGAAUCUUGCGCAAUGGGCGAAAGCCUGACGCAGCCAUGCCGCGUGAAUGAUGAAGGUCUUAGGAUUGUAAAAUUCUUUCACCGGGGACGAUAAUGACGGUACCCGGAGAAGAAGCCCCGGCUAACUUCGUGCCAGCCGCCGCCGUAA
rnacentral:rRNA from 1 species